AUUUUUUCAUUCUUUAAGGUUUCACAGAGUCCUAGUACAUCUACCUAUUCUCUCUGAAGCUCACAGUUUGUUUCAUAAAAAGUAUACCCCUCUUUAAUGUUUAGAGAGUUUGCAAAGAUCAUUUGUAUUUGCCACCUCCUUGAGUGUUGUUAUGGGGCCUUUAAACAAAUUAUUGUUCACAGAAUAUAAAUCUUGAGCUCUGAUCAGUCAUCGUCCAGUAACAUAUGUGUAUGCAGUCCAUAAUAAUCUAGAGUUCACGGAUGCUUAGCAAUCAAUUCAUACACAGAAGAUUUCAGGACAUUCUUUAUAAAUGUACCUCAAUUCAGAAAUGCAUUUUUUUUGUUUUUGUUUUUUUACUUCAUAUCACAGGUUUGGUACUGUUUGAUACCAGAGUAACAUUUUGUAAGUCAUAAUUUCUAUGGAGAGAAAGAUAAAAUCCCUAACAAUUAAUAUAAACUGACAAAAUGUACAUUCUCCUCUCUUUAAAAAAAAAAAAUUUAAAAAAAAUAAAAGUUAAAAUGAACAUUAUUCAAAAUGUGAAUUAGCUAUUAGACAUACAAUACAAUUACAUAGAUACAUAUUUAUCAAUAACAGCACAUUCAAUCUGCCAAAAAACUAAUGAUUACAAAGCCAAUAUGGAUGCUGCCAUAUAUAUAUAUAUAUUUAGAGAGAGAGAGAGGGGGGGGAGGGGAGGGAGAGAUUAAGAGUAAGAGAGAUGUAUGUACAAUGAUUAUCGCAUUCAGAGUUGUACUAUACCUACAACUGUUACUUUAAAUGGUUAAAUUACAUGUUUGCUGCGGGAUGGAAAUUAUAAUUAUUUUAAGGAAUUUGCCUUUUUUUAUUUGUAUGAAGAUAAUGUUAAUCAUUCAGGCAUUUAAUCCUUCCAGUGUCUGGCAAACCCAGAUUAUUUUGGGACCAAAUUGGUUAAAUGUAAACAUCUUGUAUGCAAUUACUGUUGAUUCCCCAAUCCUUAUCUGCAUCCCUGAGGCAGUGACUCCAGCAUUUGUAAACCCACUGCGUUGCAUAGCAACUAAACCAAUGGCACAACUGAUUUCCUUCCCCACUUGCUAGAAAUCUGCCAAUGGUUACUAGAGGAGAAUAAAUAAAAAAAAUACAACGCCGUGCAAUGGAAAACACGGAUAGACGUGUGCUUUAAAUAUAUUUGCUUUCCCAACUUUUUUGAAAUUUUAACAAAUAUUAAGGGUCUUUAAAGUGAAAAAAGAAAUAUAUACUAAUUUUUUUCUUUUGCAGGAAGAGCAUACGAGUAUCUGGCAGAAUUAUUAAACAGCAAACUAAUUCCCAACACUGAGGCCUCUUGGUUUGCUCACAAACCUCAAAAAUAUUCUUUAAUUAUGAAAGCCUGCAAUACAUUGCACAUUUAAAUUUUGUUGCAGACAUCCACCAACCUAGAAAUAGAGUUUAAUAAACUAUGCAUAUUAAACCACACUAUGAUUAAGGACUCAAGUCACCAUAUUUAAAUACGAAGCUCUCUGCACGGGUAGCAUAUGCAAUAUUUUUGUUUAUUUGGCAAAGUUAAUGGAAUACCAUGAUAAGGGAUUUGAAAACACCUAGAAAUGUUAAGUGAAACAGAUAACCAUUUGGCAGUCACCAGAUAAAGUUGGAACCUAAUGAGUUAUUUUGGCAUUUCAUCUUCUAUGUACAGUACAAAAAGAAAGCCAUCUUUUGGCAACUGGAAAUUUGAUCUUAAUUAAUAAAAAGAAUCUGAAAUACCUUUAAAAAAACAAAACAAAAAAAAACAUUUAGCUGGGGUGUAGUGUUAAUGGCAUUCUGUAUGUGCAAGCGAAAAUAAAAUAAUAAAAUAUAUAUAAUUUUUUUUUCUUUUUUUUUUUUUUUAAACUUUCCCUUCCACAUUGGCACGUUGCAAAUAAUACAUGCUCACUCUAUUCUCCUCUCUUGGGUACAUGGAGUUUCUUAAUAUAUUUUAACCACUUGCCAUUGCGUUUCUUAAUUAACGGAUGGCAAAAAAUUGAACCCACUGAGUAAGUAGUUCUAGUUAUACUUCGAAGUGACAAAAGACAACCAAAAAAAAAAAAAAAAGUUUACUCUAUACAGGUCAAUAAUUUAAAAAUCACAGUAUCAAUACUUUUUUUUUUUUUUUAAUCCUUAAAAAGUAUAUAAAUUAGCAAAAGCAGAUGGCUUAAAUAAAAUAAAAAUUAUGCCUAAUUGUUUAGUACUAGAAGCGGCUCAGGAAGGAAUGAUUGUGGGGAAGGGAAAAGUAACCUACUUUAAAAGAGUAAAAUACCCUGGGGCAGUAAGGGCCUCCGAGCCUCAUGCGGAAUUGAAAGCACCCUGCUCCCUUCUUAAAACUUGAAACACAAAAACUAAACCGGCCUUGUGAGUGCACGACUGAGAAUGAAAACACGUCGUCUUCUCCUAGAAAAUUGUGCCGCUGUAUAUGGCAGCUACGUUUUUGUUUUCCUCUACGUAGUUUAAAUAAAAUCAUAAUAAUUACUACAAACUCUGUGGACUUUCACAGAGUCCAGGACGGCAAUAAAUUAGUAUUAUGCAAAUUGUUUGUUUUUUCCUCUUAUCGAUAAUACAGUCCUCCUUGUAUUUUCUUCAAUGGCCCAAAUGGAGAUAGGGAAAGCUAGCAGGCAUAGUUAGACCAGGUUAUAUUCCUUCAGAUUCAGCUGUAGGAUCGUGUCCUUGACAGCAGCAAAGACGAAGCGAAUGUUCUCUGUGUCUGUGGCGCAGGUGAAGUGCGAGUAGAUGAUUUUGUCACUGUCAGGAUUCAGAUCUACAAACAUCUUUAAAAUGAAUUCUCUUGCUGCUUGUGCAUCACGUUGUGGCCCUGUUUGUGGAUUAAAAGAAAUAAUAAAAAAAGUUUGUAAGAAUUGUGUUUAGAAUUCAGUAUUCUUCAUUAGAAUGACAGUCUGUACUUCAUUAAACCAAGUUUAUUC
rnacentral:lncRNA from 1 species